CGCGUAGGCGGCUUUGCAAGUCGGGUGUGAAAUCCCCAGGCUCAACCUGGGAACUGCAUUCGAGACUGCAUUGCUAGAGUAUGGGAGAGGGAAGUGGAAUUUCCGGUGUAGCGGUGAAAUGCGUAGAUAUCGGAAGGAACAUCAGUGGCGAAAGCGACUUCCUGGACCAAUACUGACGCUCAUGUAGCGAAAAGCGUGGGGAGCAACA
rnacentral:rRNA from 1 species